rnacentral:tRNA from 1 species
GUGAAUAUAGCUCAGUGGUAGAGCAUAUGCUUAGCAUGCUUGAAGUCCUGGGUUCAGUCCCCAGUACCUACA